GACGUACCACCCAAACGUUAUUCGGAAUCACUGGGCUUAAAGAGUCCGUAGGCGGCUCGGUAAGUUGGAUGUGAAAUACCUCGGCUCAACCGAGGAACUGCAUUCAAAACUACCGAGCUUGAGAGAGACAGAGGUAAGCGGAACUGAUGGUGGAGCGGUGAAAUGCGUUGAUAUCAUCAGGAACACCGGUGGCGAAAGCGGCUUACUGGGUCUCUUCUGACGCUGAGGGACGAAAGCUAGGGGAGCGAACGGG
rnacentral:rRNA from 1 species